UGUAAGGAACUUUGGCACGAGUGUGCUUGAACAUUUUCGAAACAAUUCACGCUGACUGUGUGCAAGUCAUUUGUAUAUUCUAUUUUAUUUUACAUUUUAAUUCACGUAAUAUUAUACUCUUUGGCCACCCGAGUGGCAGUCUGCAACCUUUGUUUGGGAAAUAUAUCAGACCCUUUAUACAGAUCAUUGCAUUCUAUCGUCUGCCCUACAUUGCUACCUUGUUUGGGUGCGUUUCCAGGUCUUUCAAAUCUCAUGUAACUCCGUAGUGACUCGGACUGAUGACGAGGUAGAAUUUGAAAAUUAAACGAGACUUACCAAGUCGAUGUUUGAUUGGAAUUCUUUCUCGUCAUCAGUUAGGAACGAAGGAGUUACAUGCCCGACCUGUAAGUUGGUUUCUUCCCUCCCUUUCCUUCGUUCCUGCUUUUCUCCUGGAAACACUCCCUCUUUAAAGACUGACCAGAUAAGCAUGCGCAUGCUUCUCAUGUAACUCCUUCGUUCCUGACUAAUGACGAGGAAGAAUUCCAAUCAAACAUCGACUUGGUAAGUCUCGCUUAAUUUUCAAAUUUUCCGUGAUGUUUCCGGAAGUUCCUAACAACAAAUGAAUCAUCUAGAUUUUUGUUGGCUGGUACAAACGCUCGAUAAAUCUCCACCACGACAAUACCACUCUAGCAUUCAUAAGUGAUAGCACGCCCUGCCUCGGUUGCAUGUUAUGGCUACUUUUUGAUUAGGCGACACUGCAUCAGUAAACGAUUCCAUUGUUGUUGUUGUUGUCCCUUGUGUUGUAAUCGUAAUCUGUUAAAAAAAAUCCCAGUGUUUAGACUGAAAAUACCAAUAGAAGCAUUGGUUAUUGAAAAUACCUCGUUUUCGUUUUCAUAUUAGGAUCUCGCUGAAGCAACACAAGUCAUGUUGCAUUUGAAAGAACAGAUAGCCGUAUUCACGAUGGGGCUAAAAAAAUCAAGAUUGCCUCUCUCAGAAGAAAAGUAGAAGAACUCCAGAAGGAACUUGAACAAGCGCAAAAGGACUCGUCCAAAACAGUUCUGACAUUGUAUGAACUAACUCACUAUGGGGGAAACAUGAAGGAGUUCAGCAGAGAGAGCAAUGACGUGACGAAGUUUCUUCCCGAAGGAGCCUCUUCAAUUGUUGUGUCUAAACACACGGGUGAAACUUGGCAGGUUUUUACUAAAGUCAGCUUUCGAGGAGCGACCGUAAAUUUACAGCCUGGUAGAAUAUAUGAGUAUCCUUCUGAUAUGGGUCUCUCGGAGCCUGUGAAAAGCUUUCGUAAAGCUCCAUAGAGUGUCUAUCAUAAUCACAAGUGCAACGAAUCUUCAUUUACAGUAGUGGAAAAAGAUAAACAUUGACUCUGAAUUAUCAUGGGCAUCUAUCGGAAGAAAAAGAUCCUGCAAAAUUUAAUUGAAGCUCAGUCUUGUAUCUAUGAACCUUGUCAUUAUUAGUCUCUUUCAAACUCUGUGUUUUUUGUUUUUUGUUUUUUUUCCAAGAGAUAAUUAGAGCAUGCACAUCGUCAAGAGAUUAUCAAGGUAAGAGAGUGAAUCCCCCAUAUAGGUCCUCUAACUAAGGUAA